UUAAGCGACUAAGCGUACACGGUGGAUGCCAUGGCAGUCAGAGGCGAUGAAGGACGUGCUAAUCUGCGAUAAGCGUCGGUAAGGUGAUAUGAACCGUUAUAACCGGCGAUUUCCGAAUGGGGAAACCCAGUGUGAUUCGUCACACUAUCAUUAACUGAAUCCAUAGGUUAAUGAGGCGAACCGGGGGAACUGAAACAUCUAAGUACCCCGAGGAAAGAAAUCAACCGAGAUUCCCCCAGUAGCGGCGAGCGAACGGGGAGCAGCCCAGAGUCUGAAUCAGUGUGUGUGUUAGUGGAAGCGUCUGGAAAGGCGCGCGAUACAGGGUGACAGCCCCGUACACAAAAAUGCACAUGCUGUGAGCUCGAUGAGUAGGGCGGGACACGUGGUAUCCUGUCUGAAUAUGGGGGGACCAUCCUCCAAGGCUAAAUACUCCUGACUGACCGAUAGUGAACCAGUACCGUGAGGGAAAGGCGAAAAGAACCCCGGCGAGGGGAGUGAAAAGGAACCUGAAACCGUGUACGUACAAGCAGUGGGAGCCUCUUUAUGGGGUGACUGCGUACCUUUUGAUAAUGGGUCAGCGACUUAUAUUCUGUAGCAAGGUUAACCGAAUAGGGGAGCCGAAGGGAAACCGAGUCUUAACUGGGCGUUAAGUUGCAGGGUAUAGACCCGAAACCCGGUGAUCUAGCCAUGGGCAGGUUGAAGGUUGGGUAACACUAACUGGAGGACCGAACCGACUAAUGUUGAAAAAUUAGCGGAUGACUUGUGGCUGGGGGUGAAAGGCCAAUCAAACCGGGAGAUAGCUGGUUCUCCCCGAAAGCUAUUUAGGUAGCGCCUCGUGAAUUCAUCUCCGGGGGUAGAGCACUGUUUCGGCAAGGGGGUCAUCCCGACUUACCAACCCGAUGCAAACUGCGAAUACCGGAGAAUGUUAUCACGGGAGACACACGGCGGGUGCUAACGUCCGUCGUGAAGAGGGAAACAACCCAGACCGCCAGCUAAGGUCCCAAAGUCAUGGUUAAGUGGGAAACGAUGUGGGAAGGCCCAGACAGCCAGGAUGUUGGCUUAGAAGCAGCCAUCAUUUAAAGAAAGCGUAAUAGCUCACUGGUCGAGUCGGCCUGCGCGGAAGAUGUAACGGGGCUAAACCAUGCACCGAAGCUGCGGCAGCGACGCUUAUGCGUUGUUGGGUAGGGGAGCGUUCUGUAAGCCUGUGAAGGUGUGCUGUGAGGCAUGCUGGAGGUAUCAGAAGUGCGAAUGCUGACAUAAGUAACGAUAAAGCGGGUGAAAAGCCCGCUCGCCGGAAGACCAAGGGUUCCUGUCCAACGUUAAUCGGGGCAGGGUGAGUCGCCCCCUAAGGCGAGGCCGAAAGGCGUAGUCGAUGGGAAACAGGUUAAUAUUCCUGUACUUGGUGUUACUGCGAAGGGGGGACGGAGAAGGCUAUGUUGGCCGGGCGACGGUUGUCCCGGUUUAAGCGUGUAGGCUGGUUUUCCAGGCAAAUCCGGAAAAUCAAGGCUGAGGCGUGAUGACGAGGCACUACGGUGCUGAAGCAACAAAUGCCCUGCUUCCAGGAAAAGCCUCUAAGCAUCAGGUAACAUCAAAUCGUACCCCAAACCGACACAGGUGGUCAGGUAGAGAAUACCAAGGCGCUUGAGAGAACUCGGGUGAAGGAACUAGGCAAAAUGGUGCCGUAACUUCGGGAGAAGGCACGCUGAUAUGUAGGUGAAGCGACUUGCUCGUGGAGCUGAAAUCAGUCGAAGAUACCAGCUGGCUGCAACUGUUUAUUAAAAACACAGCACUGUGCAAACACGAAAGUGGACGUAUACGGUGUGACGCCUGCCCGGUGCCGGAAGGUUAAUUGAUGGGGUCAGCGCAAGCGAAGCUCUUGAUCGAAGCCCCGGUAAACGGCGGCCGUAACUAUAACGGUCCUAAGGUAGCGAAAUUCCUUGUCGGGUAAGUUCCGACCUGCACGAAUGGCGUAAUGAUGGCCAGGCUGUCUCCACCCGAGACUCAGUGAAAUUGAACUCGCUGUGAAGAUGCAGUGUACCCGCGGCAAGACGGAAAGACCCCGUGAACCUUUACUAUAGCUUGACACUGAACAUUGAGCCUUGAUGUGUAGGAUAGGUGGGAGGCUUUGAAGUGUGGACGCCAGUCUGCAUGGAGCCGACCUUGAAAUACCACCCUUUAAUGUUUGAUGUUCUAACGUUGGCCCCUAAUCGGGGUUGCGGACAGUGUCUGGUGGGUAGUUUGACUGGGGCGGUCUCCUCCUAAAGAGUAACGGAGGAGCACGAAGGUUGGCUAAUCCUGGUCGGACAUCAGGAGGUUAGUGCAAUGGCAUAAGCCAGCUUGACUGCGAGCGUGACGGCGCGAGCAGGUGCGAAAGCAGGUCAUAGUGAUCCGGUGGUUCUGAAUGGAAGGGCCAUCGCUCAACGGAUAAAAGGUACUCCGGGGAUAACAGGCUGAUACCGCCCAAGAGUUCAUAUCGACGGCGGUGUUUGGCACCUCGAUGUCGGCUCAUCACAUCCUGGGGCUGAAGUAGGUCCCAAGGGUAUGGCUGUUCGCCAUUUAAAGUGGUACGCGAGCUGGGUUUAGAACGUCGUGAGACAGUUCGGUCCCUAUCUGCCGUGGGCGCUGGAGAACUGAGGGGGGCUGCUCCUAGUACGAGAGGACCGGAGUGGACGCAUCACUGGUGUUCGGGUUGUCAUGCCAAUGGCACUGCCCGGUAGCUAAAUGCGGAAGAGAUAAGUGCUGAAAGCAUCUAAGCACGAAACUUGCCCCGAGAUGAGUUCUCCCUGACUCCUUGAGAGUCCUGAAGGAACGUUGAAGACGACGACGUUGAUAGGCCGGGUGUGUAAGCGCAGCGAUGCGUUGAGCUAACCGGUACUAAUGAACCGUGAGGCUUAACCUU
rnacentral:rRNA from 1 species